rnacentral:rRNA from 1 species
AGAGUUUGAUCCUGGCUCAGAACGAACGCUGGCGGCGUGGAUAAGACAUGCAAGUCGCACGGAACACUUCGGUGUUGAGUGGCGCACGGGUGAGUGACACGUGAGCAACCUGCCCCUAAGACAGGGAUAGCCCCGGGAAACUGGGAUUAAUACCUGAUAGUCUCGCAAGAGUAAAGCAGCAAUGCGCUUAGGGAGGGGCUCGCGGCCUAUUAGUUAGUUGGCGGGGUAACGGCCCACCAAGGCGAUGACGGGUAGCCGGUCUGAGAGGAUGUCCGGCCACACUGGAACUGAGACACGGUCCAGACACCUACGGGUGGCAGCAGUCGAGAAUCAUUCACAAUGGGGGCAACCCUGAUGGUGCGACGCCGCGUGGGGGAGGAAGGUCUUCGGAUUGUAAACCCCUGUCAUGUGGGAGCAAGGCUUCGGCUUGAUAGUACCACAAGAGGAAGAGACGGCAAACUCUGUGCCAGCAGCCGCGGUAAGAGUAGAGGU